UGUUAUUUAUAGUUGUCUUGUGAAGCACUGAUUAGAACAUGGAAAGAUUUAGAUCACAAGCAUGCAUGUCCCAAAAGAGUUCUCACUCCAGUUGAACAGAUAUGCAGCACAUUUCAACAAAUUCGAGACCAAUUUCUCCCAAUUUGGAAUGGGUGGUGUCGGCAAAUGACAUACAUUAAAGGACUCAACCCUCUUAGAAAAUGUUGAUUAUAAUGUCCAUUCUAAUUUUUCUAUUUGAGAUAGAUAAAUUAUACUCUGACUUUAGGAGAUACGUUGGUCGAUUCAUCGCACAAUUGUUACUACAAAUAUCCAAGUGGUCUUGCAUUUUUGGCGAAGAAGAUCAACGAACAUCCCAACUUAUGUCAAUCUUAUGCUGAAUGCUUGAAGAAAGGAAGUGGAAACUUUUAUCUUAAUAAUAAGAACGACUACGGUUGGUGUUUUUACUC